AUCCCUGCUACUCGGGAGGCUGAGGCAGGAGAAUCAUUUGAACCUGGGAGGCGGAGGUUACAGUCAGCUGAUUUUGUGCCACUGCCCUGUAGCCUAGGUGACAGAGUGAGACUCUAACCCCAAAAAGAAAACAAAACAAAAGCAAAAACAACAAAACAAAGAACAAAAUAACCUGAUACUUGUAGUAUCAGUUUUAAAGCAGAGGUAUGAAGAUAUUUAAAUUGUAUUUCAAUGAUGCAGAAGGUGUAUUUUUUAUUUAGAGAUUCUUGAUGAAUAUCUUCUGUAAAUUGCCUGGGUUUUUUAUUAUUAUUAUUAUUAUUAUUAUUAUUAUUAUUAUUGCUGGUUUAUAGCUGUUUUUCAGUUCACGCAGUAAAAUUUUACUGGGUUAUUUGAUUUUUUUAGAGUCAUCCCUCAGGUGAAUUUAUAUUACAGAAGUAAAGUUGAAGCCAUUCUUAAGAUGUGGAACUUACUCCUAGAUCCUGAUAGAACUAGUCAAAUUGAGAUAUAUUAACACUGUAUCUUGGCAAAUUUGCCUAGAUAAGUCUUUAUGAUUUUCUAUCAUGUGACUCUGAACAGUUAUACACUGGAAAAAAAGUAAAAUAUAUUAUCAAACCAUUACCCUAUGUGAUCCUCAAGAGCUAGAACAAAGUCUUAAUGUUUCUAUUUUUAACACCUACCAAUGUCUAAGACAUAGUAGGAGCUCAAUAAAUGUUUCAUAAUCAAAGGCUCUGGGUCUCCUUGCCCCUUCCAGAACCCUAUAAUUAUUGUUCAUAUUCUUUCAGCAGAUUCCAAUGUCAAAACAGAUGACUCUUGUAUACUAGUACACAAUUUGGCUUGUUGUGUGACUUGACUCCGGGGGAGAAGACAGUAAAUUGAAUGGAAUUCGAAUAUUUGUUCAGUUCUGUUGACAGAGGUUUUUCAAUGUAAAUUAAUAAAUUCGUGUUCUGGUGUC